rnacentral:rRNA from 1 species
CACCAGCGCCACGAGUGGGAGCCACGAUUAUUGGGCCUAAAGCGUCCGUAGCUGGUUGGGUAAAUCUUUUGUGAAAUCGGAAAGCUUAACUUUCCGGCGUGCAGAAGACACUGCCUGACUUGAGACCGGGAGGGGUAAGGAGUAUUUCCAGGGAACCGGUAAAAUGGGAUAAUCCUGGAAGGACUACCUGUGGCGAAGGCGCCUUACCAGAACGGGUCCGACAGUGAGGGACGAAGGCUAGGGGAGCGAACCG